rnacentral:rRNA from 1 species
UUCCGGUUGAUCCUGCCGGACCCGACUGCUAUUUGGGUGAGGAUAAGCCAUGCGAGUUGAAUGGGAAACCUAAAGUUCCCAUGGCAAACUGCUCAGUAACACAUGAUCAACUUACCCUAUAGAGAAAAAUAACCUCGGGAAACUGAGGAUAAUGUUUCAUAGUUGAAUUGGCUUGGAAAAGUUUUUCGACGAAAGGGGUAAAAAAAAUGGUUUUUAUCUGCUAUAGGAUAGGAUCGUGUUCGAUUAUGGUUGUUGGUGAGGUAAUGGCUCACCAAGCCGAUAAUCGAUAGGGGCCGUGAGAGCGGGAGCCCCGAGAUGGGUACUGAGACAACGACCCAGGCCUUACGAGGCGCAGCAGGCGCGAAACCUCCGCAAUACACGAAAGUGUGACGGGGUUACCCAAAGUGUUCAAUAGAACUGUGGUAGGUGAGUAAUGUUCCCUACUAGAAAGGAGAGGGCAAGGCUGGUGCCAGCCGCCGCGGUAAAACCAGCUCUUCAAGUGGUCGGGAUAAUUAUUGGGCUUAAAGUGUCCGUAGCCGGUUUAGUAAGUUCCUGGUAAAAUCGGGUAGCUUAACUAUCUAUAUGCUAGGAAUACUACUAUACUAGAGGGCGGGAGAGGUCUGAGGUACUGCAGGGGUAGGGGUGAAAUCUUAUAAUCCUUGUUGGACCACCAGUGGCGAAGGCGUCAGACUGGAACGCGCCUGACGGUGAGGGACGAAAGCCAGGGGAGCGAACCGGAUUAGAUACCCGGGUAGUCCUGGCCGUAAACGAUGCAUACUAGGUGAUGGCACGGCCAUGAGCCGUGUCAGUGCCGUAGGGAAACCGUUAAGUGUGCCGCCUGGGAAGUACGGUCGCAAGGCUAAAACUUAAAGGAAUUGGCGGGGGAGCACCACAAGGGGUGAAGCCUGCGGUUCAAUUGGAUUCAACGCCGGAAAUCACUAGUGCGGCCG